UACGUAGGGAGCAAGCGUUGUCCGGAAUCAUUGGGCGUAAAGCGCGCGUAGGCGGCCCGAUAAGUCCGCUGUGAAAAGUCAACGGCUCAACUGUUGGAUGCCGGUGGAUACUGUCGGGCUAGAGUACGGAAGAGGCAAGUGGAAUUCCCGGUGUAGAGGUGAAAUUCGUAGAUAUCGGGAGGAACACCGGUGGCGAAGGCGGCGAAUCUGGGUAGAGUACUGACGCUGAGGUGCGAAAGCGUGGGGAGCAAA
rnacentral:rRNA from 1 species